rnacentral:lncRNA from 1 species
AAUAUUUUUAAGUGUAUUUAUUUUCAUUUGCUAGCUUGGUGAUUUAUGGGUUUGUUUUAUUUUCUUUUUUUCCCCCUUUCAGAAGAGAGAAUGAGCACCUUGAGCUCGAGCGCUGCCGACUGCAGGGUGGCUGGAGUUGGGUGUUCUGCUCACAGGCAGAAGAAAACCACUUCAAGACAUCAAGAAGAGCCAACUGAGCCUAAUCCCAUUUUCCCUAGGACCUGGCAGCCAUUCAGGACUGCUUCUAUUGUAUUUACGUGGAAUUUGGUCACCUGUGGCUUCAGGCAGCCCAAAUCUCUCAGGAUGUGCAGGACAGGAGUGACCCUUACCACGCUGCCAUUGUUCCUGCCUGCCUCAUCUGUCCCUAUGGAUCUGGAGCUGACUGUGGCAUGUUUAGAAGUGGAACUCAAAAGCCAAGGGUGGCUGUGGUGGUUCUGGCAGUGGCCCAGAUCACCUUUAUGGACUGAGAGGUGAAAUCACCAAAGCUGUGCUUGGAUGGUGCAUCCCUGUCUCCUCUCCAUGGUUUGGUCAUGGCUUUUAGCAGCUCUGGACUGAAUUUGGCAGAACUUUCCUCAUCCACCCCUGCUGGGUCAGUCAGGCAGUUUGGCAACUUCUGCUCUUUUUUCCUUUGGGAAUUUGCACUUUGUCUUGGAGCUUCCCAGGGUCUGUCCUUGCUUGCAGGAAUUCAGAGUGGUCGAUAUCUUGCUGGCACAACCCACAGGCUCUCCCAGCUGCUCCUGGGCAGAGCUGCUGGCAGCAGC